AUUGAACGCUGGCGGCAUGCCUUACACAUGCAAGUCGAACGGUAACAGGUCUUCGGAUGCUGACGAGUGGCGAACGGGUGAGUAAUACAUCGGAACGUGCCCAGACGUGGGGGAUAACGAGGCGAAAGCUUUGCUAAUACCGCAUACGAUCUAAGGCUGAAAGCAGGGGACCGCAAGGCCUUGUGCGUUUGGAGCGGCCGAUGGCAGAUUAGGUAGUUGGUGGGAUAAAAGCUUACCAAGCCGACGAUCUGUAGCUGGUCUGAGAGGACGACCAGCCACACUGGGACUGAGACACGGCCCAGACUCCUACGGGAGGCAGCAGUGGGGAAUUUUGGACAAUGGGCGAAAGCCUGAUCCAGCAAUGCCGCGUGCAGGAUGAAGGCCUUCGGGUUGUAAACUGCUUUUGUACGGAACGAAAAGGCUCUGGCUAAUACCUUGGGCACAUGACGGUACCGUAAGAAUAAGCACCGGCUAACUACGUG
rnacentral:rRNA from 1 species